UACGUAGGGUGCAAGCGUUAAUCGGAAUUACUGGGCGUAAAGCGUGCGCAGGCGGCUUUGCAAGACAGAUGUGAAAUCCCCGGGCUCAACCUGGGAACUGCAUUUGUGACUGCAUGGCUAGAGUACGGUAGAGGGGGAUGGAAUUCCGCGUGUAGCAGUGAAAUGCGUAGAUAUGCGGAGGAACACCGAUGGCGAAGGCAAUCCCCUGGACCUGUACUGACGCUCAUGCACGAAAGCGUGGGG
rnacentral:rRNA from 1 species